GGAGGUCGGCAACGACCACCCAGAGCCGGAAAGUUGGUCAAACUCGGUCAUUUAGAGGAAGUAAAAGUCGUAACAAGGUCUCCGUAGGUGAACCUGCGGAGGGAUCAUUA
rnacentral:rRNA from 3 species